GUUUUUGUAGUGUAAGUUAGCACGUUAAGGGUUUCAUCCUAAAAGUAUAAUUUUUUUAUCAAAAAUU
rnacentral:tRNA from 1 species